CCUACGGGCGGCUGCAGUGAGGAAUAUUGGUCAAUGGACGCAAGUCUGAACCAGCAAUGCCGCGUGCAGGAAGACGGCUCUAUGAGUUGUAAACUGCUUUUGUACGAGGGUAAACGCAGAUACGCGUAUCUGUCUGAAAGUAUCGUACGAAUAAGGAUCGGCAAACUCCGUGCCAGCAGCCGCGGCAAUACGGAGGAUUCAAGCGUUAUCGGGAUUAAUGGGGGUUAAGGGGUGCGCAGGCGGACUGUUAAGUCAGCGGUCAAAGCCCGGGGCUCAACCCCGGCCCGCCGUUGAAACUGGCAGUCUCGAGUUGGAGAGAGGUAUGCGGAAUGCGCGGUGUAGCGGUGAAAUGCGUAGAUAUCGCGCAGAACACCGGUGGCGAAGGCAGCAUGCCGGCUCCACACUGACGCUGAGGCACGAAAGCGUGGGGAGCGAACAGGAUUAGAUACCCUAGUAGUC
rnacentral:rRNA from 1 species